GAGGAAUAUCCUGCGGCAAUUAGCAGACGUUGGUAGAGCCCUCCGAACCCCCGUGCUGGCUCCUGGCCACUGUGGAAAGCCCAGGAGAACUGGACAGACGUAGGGGAGCCCGCUGAACCCCUCCGCACACACCUGAACACUGUGGAAAGCCCUGUGUCACUGGAAAGGGAAUGUGGGAAUGGAAAGCACGUAGGCAGAUGUGCCUUCGCGGCAAGUGCUCAGGACAGUCUGUGAGGCAAACAUGUCCAGGCUUGGCUGGAGAGGAUCCAAGUGACGUAGCUAGUAAGGAGUCCGUGUGCCAAGGUACCUCCCGUUCCUGCACCAGGAAGAGAAUGACUCUUAGUACUGGAGAUGGCACUGACUUGAGCCUGCAUAAUAAACCUGACUGACUUCUUGGUCUAUUCAUGCUGCUGUGAAAAAGACCACGGACUGUGCAGCUGACAAACAACAGAUAAGUAUUUCUCACAUUUCUGGAGACUGGGAAACCCAAG
ensembl:lncRNA